AGUGAACGCUGGCGGUAGGCCUAACACAUGCCAGUCGAACGGCAGCACAGUAAGAGCUUGCUCUUACGGGUGGCGAGUGGCGGACGGGUGAGGAAUACAUCGGAAUCUACUUUUUCGUGGGGGAUAACGUAGGGAAACUUACGCUAAUACCGCAUACGACCUACGAGUGAAAGCAGGGGAUCUUCGGACCUUGCGCGAUUGAAUGAGCCGAUGUCGGAUUAGCUAGUUGGCGGGGUAAAGGCCCACCAAGGCGACGAUCCGUAGCUGGUCUGAGAGGAUGAUCAGCCACACUGGAACUGAGACACGGUCCAGACUCCUACGGGAGGCAGCAGUGGGGAAUAUUGGACAAUGGGCGCAAGCCUGAUCCAGCCAUACCGCGUGGGUGAAGAAGGCCUUCGGGUUGUAAAGCCCUUUUGUUGGGAAAGAAAAGCAGCAGGUUAAUACCCCGCUGUUCUGACGGUACCCAAAGAAUAAGCACCGGCUAACUUCGUG
rnacentral:rRNA from 1 species